CCCAAGGCAAGGGCACACCAAAAAUGGUUCAUCUGGGCUGGGUUCAGCAGAUGGGCCAAAGCUGCAUCAGGUAAAAAAACCCACUUAAAACACAUGGUAGAAGAGUUGUCAGGACAGUAGUUAAGAGCAGCAGACCUAGUGCUUUCAUAACCAUCAUAUUUCAGGCAAGGAAAUCUUAUCCUACGACUUUCACUUUUUAUCUCUUUAACAUUUGUUUUAUAUAAAUUAGGAAUUUAAUUUCUCCCCUACAUUCAGUAUCAUCUCUGACACCACUGUGAUUUUGAAAUUAAGGUAGGUGGGUGAAAGAUGACUGAGGACUAUUAAUCAAGUACUGGAAAUAUGUGAACAUAUUUUUAUUAAAUAAUACAGUUGAUUGCCUUUUUCGUGAAUUCAUGUACCUGUUAAUACUUUUGCCUAAAGAUAACUUUAGGGAGUCAGAUCAAAACUUUUAAGGAGAAUUCCAACAGAAUGGUUAGUGUUGCUGUCCUUUUCAUGGAGGCAAUUCUCCUAAAAAAUUCUGAAUUUGGGUUGUUGUAUUUGAAGUAUUUUAUGACACAUUAUACUCUCUCUUUUCAUCCAUACUCACCCACAUAUUGAGGAUUCCAUUUUCAUCCAUUGAAGCUAUCUGAAAUGGAGGGCCUGACAUUUCUAUGGAAGGAAUGGCAACAAUUUAUAUUCAUACACUGACUUUCCUCCUGAAUAAUAGCAAAGGAUUUGAAACAUUUCCUACAUUAAUACAUCCUCUGAAACUUCUGCAAUCUUCUCAGCUGCUUAAAAAGGGAAAGUUCUCUAAGUCUACCAAAAGGGGAAAAAAGACAAACUUUCUUUACAGACAGGGCAGUCAAAUAUUGGAGCAGGCUUCCUAGAGAAGUGGUCAAUGCCCCAGGCCUGUCAGUGUUGAGGAGCUAUUUGCACAAUGCCCUGAACACGUUUUAACUUGGUCACCCCAAACUGAUCAGGCAGUUGGACUGGAAGAUCCUUGUAGGUCCCUUCCAACUCAAACAGUCUGGUCUACAUGGUCUAGUCUGGUCUAUUCCAGUAUGUGCAGCUUGUCCUACCAGAAAGGCAAAUGAUCUCAGCCUGCAUCUUUUUUAAAAUGUCUGGAUUCUCUGUGGACUUUGGAAGGCAACAUAAAGUGAAACAGAUGGAAUCUUGUAAAACCUGCAAUAGGCAGCACAUUUCUUCAAACCACUAUGGAUCUCAAAGUACAAAAUUUGCUAUGGAAGUGAUAAUUCUAAUUCUUCCCUAGCACACUGUUUGAGAAUUUGAGGAUGUGAGGAUUAGAGUUUCUUUGCAAAGGUUGGUCAUAAAAAGAACAGGCAAAAGGCAAAGGAAAAACCACCAAUUACAGCCACUCAUUUUAAGUGCUUUUAUAUAUAAGCAAGUUGCUCCACUGACUCUGACAGGGAUUUUUUUUGGACAUUAGACAUUUUUCAAACACAGUUUUUGAGUGAUAACUUGUUUUAUCAUGGAAAUACGGUCUAGAAAGCAGACUUUAUAACAACCACAUGACCACAUCUGAUGUGAAGCUGCACUGAAUGAACAUUACAUAAAAAUGAGAGCCCAAAACAAACAUGAAUAUUGCAUGCAAUUGAUACAAACAACUUAAGAGGCAGACUGGGAUAUAAACUGGAUUUUGGCUAUGAUGUAUUUAUUUCACUAGAUACCUAAAGAAAAACUCAUAUGUACUGAUGCUUAGAAGAGCAGUUUACAUACCCUCUUGAUAAGGGAGGCUUGAGAGCCCAUAACUGUGGUUACUGUUGAGAGAAGUUGAGACAGGUUCCACUGCCAGUAUAGGAGAGGUGUGGUUUACUGAGUUUAGAAUGCCAUCUGUAAAUGAGGAUAAUGAAAGUUAAACAUAGUACUUUCCAAAAAAAACAACAAAUCUUAAUCACUCUUCAGCUCAUGGGAGAAUGAUGAUUACAAAGGAAGAAUGGCAAAUAAUGAACUUUGCACAAGUCUAAAAUACAACACUGCAAACUGCUAAAUCAACAAAAUACUACUAGAUAAAUCAGUGUUCCAAUAUUCUGUUCAUUUCUCAUUUUCCAAAUGACUGAUGCACCAUUUAUGCCACUGUACCAGACAUUUCAUUGAAAUCUGACAUUUCAGGGUUACCAUGGAAAGAAUUAUUUCAAGCUCCUUAAACAACAGGGGUAGAAAUAAAUCACUAUUUACUGUAAAAGAAGACAAAAUUGAAGAAAAAUUACUCUUAGUAGAAUGUAUCCUGAAAAAUCCUGAAACAAAGUAUUCACCAGAAGAAAAUGGUGAAUGUAUGUAUUUACCCUUUAAUAACAUUUUAAGGCUAAUGUGUGUUUAGAGUAAUUUCAAUGUGUGUUCUUUGCCAGACACUCAUGAUUUCUGGACUGCCCUAUGCACUGAACUUAAUCUCAUCUAAGACUGAGGCAUUAAGGCUUCCUAAGCAUCCAGCAUUAAACCUGCCUGCUUGCAUAAGCAACUACAUGAAACUGCACACAUCCACUUGACUACCAGCAUGCAACACAACACCAAGCAUCUCUGACCUACUAAAAAAAAUUAGAAGUGUAUCUACAACCAACUACUGUUUACUUUUACAUGGCUGCUGCAAUUAGAAACACUUAUGAAGAAAAGAGGAUUUUGUAAAUGUGUGUAGUGGGGUGUUUUAGAAAGCUAAUAGUACCACAGCCAAAGUUAAAUCAGAAUAUGGUUUGGACUGGAAGGGAUAUUAAAGAUCAUCUCAUUCCAACCCCCAGCUGUGGGUAGGGACAACUUGUGCUGGCCAGGUUGCUCGGAGCCCCAUCCAGCCUGGCCUAGAACACUUUCAGGGAUGGAGCAUCCACAACUUCUGUGGGCAACUUGUGCCAGUGCCUCACCACUCCCACAGGAAAAAUGUCUUCCUAAUAACUAACCUAAACCUACAUUCCUAAUAAAAUUAUUUACAAAACUAUUACUGUAUGUUAUUGUUCACUCUAGGAAUGUCUUGCAUGAACGUUACAGAAACAUCAAGACUUAGGUGGCAAUUUCGCUGUGCACAAAGUGACUGAGCAGGAUGCACAGAUGCUCACCUGUGGAAAAUGUGGGAACUCUGAAUGUCCACUGAGUUUCAGUGAUCAUCAUACAAGGGUGCAUUCUUGAGUCUUCUCGAAGGUCCCACACCAACAAUGAACCAUCUAC